rnacentral:rRNA from 1 species
UACGUAGGGUGCGAGCGUUGUCCGGAAUUAUUGUGCGUAAAGGGCUCGUAGGCGGUUUGUCGCGUCGGGAGUGAAAACUCAGGGCUUAACCCUGAGCUUGCAGUGGGUACGGGCAGACUAGAGUGCGGUAGGGGAGACUGGAAUUCCUGGUGUAGCGGUGAAAUGCGCAGAUAUCAGGAGGAACACCGGUGGCGAAGGCGGGUCUCUGGGCCGUAACUGACGCUGAGGAGCGAAAGCAUGGGGAGCGAACAGG